AGUGAAAAAGAACCUGAAACCGUGUACGUACAAGCAGUGGGAGCACGCUUAGGCGUGUGACUGCGUACCUUUUGUAUAAUGGGUCAGCGACUUAUAUUCUGUAGCAAGGUUAACCGAAUAGGGGAGCCGAAGGGAAACCGAGUCUUAACUGGGCGUUAAGUUGCAGGGUAUAGACCCGAAACCCGGUGAUCUAGCCAUGGGCAGGUUGAAGGUUGGGUAACACUAACUGGAGGACCGAACCGACUAAUGUUGAAAAAUUAGCGGAUGACUUGUGGCUGGGGGUGAAAGGCCAAUCAAACCGGGAGAUAGCUGGUUCUCCCCGAAAGCUAUUUAGGUAGCGCCUCGUGAAUUCAUCUCCGGGGGUAGAGCACUGUUUCGGCA
rnacentral:rRNA from 1 species